rnacentral:tRNA from 1 species
UUAUCAUUUAUUUUAUAAUUUAAAAUUUGGUUUUGAAGAAGCUAAGAAUUUUUGAUAGA